rnacentral:lncRNA from 1 species
CAUGUGCUCAGGACCCUCUUCAGCAAGAAGAAGAAUCUGACCGGUGAUGACAUACCGAGGUUAGGAGUCCUUGCAUGUUACCUGGAUCCAGUGGAGCUGGGUUCAUUUCUCGAGGACUCAGCUGUGUCCUCGGCUCUGUGGCAGCAGCUGGCUCAGUGCAUGUCCAAGGGGUUCAUCAGCACCAGCGGCAGGGUAAGCAGCUAUUGUUCUCUAGUCUACUCCAGAAAAUCUGCUUUAAACCAACUUCCCCCUCAAUCUCUGGCUCACUCUGUUGAACUGUGUUUCAUGGUCAGCUGUCCUCUUGGUUGAUACCAGCCGUCGAGAGCCUGAACAUCAGCAGCAUGGCUCCCCCGGAGCUGUCUGGCCUCAGCGGUCUGUUCCCUCAGUUAGGAGCUUCCUUCCUGCUGUCGCUCCCCUCACAACAACUCCUGGAAAUCCUCUCACAACCAGGAUUACACAGAUAUUCCCCAGCACAGGCUUUCCAAAUGUUGUCCAAGAUUUCAAAGGACAUCCCUCUCAGCACAGAGACACUGUGCACACUGAAGCCGUUACUCUCCGGUCUCUCCCCUGCUGUGCUCAAAGACCUCCAGUGGCCUGAGAUCAGUGAAGCUGCCCACUGCCAGUGCUGGAGGACGUUGCUAAAUGAGCUUAAACCCGGCCUUAGAGCCAUGCUGUACAAUGCAAUGCAGGAGGUGACGGUGCUAUUAUCUGUGUGA